CCAACUUUGAUCAUCCACUUCCACCUACAGUGAACAGCUUAAUACACGUAGCCCUUGACGAACAUUCCUUUCUUGGCCUCCUCGGACUCGCCCUCACCUGUGUAUUUGCCAAGCUGAGCAAGAGAGUUGGCCUUGGCGCGGACAAGCAAGGUUUCCUGGGCUGGCUUCACGUUCUCGGGUCUUCCUCCCCAUGUCUUCAAGCAGGUGUUCUGGAGGGCUCGGGCAUAUGAGAAAGAUACGUGCCACGGGUUUGGCGAUUGGUUCAUGGCAUUCAAGUUCAGGGUGGCUUCAACUUCAGAUUGUCCACCAGACAAGAACUACUCAUAUGAGGAAGAUUGCUAUCAUUAGAAUAAGCGAAGAACAAGAAGAAUACAACCGAAAAACUAAACAAACCAGAGCAAACAGAAUCGAGUCAUAGUUCACAGUUAAAAGUAAGGGAUUGGUAGUGAGACUCGCCAUGAUUCCAGGGACUGCCGGGGGGAUUCUGCGGUGGAGAAGCUUGAGGGUGUAUUCAGCGACUUGUUGAGGAGUGGCCUUGUCCUUGCACUCGGCACCAGGAGUGACCAUGCUGGGCUUAAGGAGGAUACCCUCAAACAUGACAUUGUUCUCAGCCAGGUAGUAGAAAACCUCAGCCCAAACCUUCUGAGCAACUUCAAAUGUCCUGUCGAUUCCAUGCUCACCAUCAAGCAAGAUCUCUGGCUCCACAAUUGGUACCAACCCGUUGUCCUGCCAAAGGUUAAGUAGACAUUUGUUUACAAACU
rnacentral:lncRNA from 1 species